GAAGGGGGGAGGGAGAUCGUGGAAUCUAACGAUAAACCCUCAGAGAAGUUUUUUAGUAAACGAAGUGAAUUGAAAUAUCUUAGUAACUUCAGGAAAAGAAAUCAAAAGAGAUUCUAUGAUUAGCGUGAGUGAAAAUAGAGUAGCCUACUAACAUUAAGUAAAAUGGUUAAAAAACUGUUUGAAUUAAAUGGGGAACCUUCCUCAAAGGCUAAAUAUAAUACAUAAGCGACAGUGAAAAGUAUCAUGAGAGAAAGAUUGUAAUUAGUAGUUUUAUAAGCAGUUCGAGCCAAAUAAAUAAGUGAGAACGUACCUUUUGCAUAAUGGGUCACCUAGUUAACAUUAGAUGCGAGUGAAAGCGUAGGUAAACCAAUCGUUAAAAUAACGAAUAGUGUCUAAAGUUAGACCCGAAGCCUGGUGAUUUUACCAUAAUCAGGAUUAUAAAAGUCCGAACGGGUU
rnacentral:ncRNA from 1 species